UUAACUGAACUGUACCGAAAAUAGAUAAUAGUGUCACCGGUAACAUCGGUCUACAUCAUCCACGCUUUAAGUAGGUCAUACUGGUUAGAAAAGUCAGUACAUAAUUACAUCAACAUUGGACAUAUAAAAUGGCAGAUUACAACAUCAGACCAGCUGUACAGGGUGAUUGUGAGGAGAUCCUUCGGCUGAUACAGGAGUUAGCAGAAUUCGAAAAAAUGCCGGAACAAGUGAAGAUGACAGUGGAGACACUAAGAAGAGACGGAUUCGGCGAGCAGAAUUUUUUCCGUUGUCUUGUUGUUGAGGAUAAAACUACAACAGGUAAGA